AAGAAGCAAGCACGUGAAAUUUUCCAGGAGAGUUUAAGGUCCAGAAAUGUAGAUGGUUACUAUUCUUGCUACUGGUUUGUUGCUCUGCCAGAGGUUACUGCCCUGUAGCAGGGGCACUGAAGCCAUCCGUCUGCCUGGCGACUGCCACAGUCCAUACAGUGUUGGAACAACUGCUGAAACUGAGGGCGGCACCUCCGGCUGCAGGAAGCAGCACAGCACAUCCCUCCCUGGCAGCAGAUGGUCUGGCCGGGUCCCUCACAGCUCUUUGGCCCUCUGUGAG
rnacentral:lncRNA from 1 species